GUCCUACGGGGGGCAGCAGUCGGGAAUAUUGCACAAUGGAGGAAACUCUGAUGCAGUGACACCGCGUAUAGGAAGAAGGUUUUCGGAUUGUAAACUAUUUUAGACAGGGAAGAAAAAAGACAGUACCUGUAGAAUAAGCUCCGGCUAACUACGUGCCAGCAGCCGCGGGAAUACGUAGGGAGCAAUCGUUGUCCGGAAUUACUGGGUGUAAAGGGAGCGUAGGCGGGGAUGCAAGUUGGGUGUCAAAACUACCGGCUCAACCGAUAGUCGCACUCAAAAAUGCAACUCUUGUGUGAAGUAGAGGC
rnacentral:rRNA from 1 species